AUCUUUCGCAAUGGGCGAAAGCCUGACGGAGCAACGCCGCGCGAGUGAUGAAGGGUUUCGGCUCGUAAAACUCUGUUAUUAGGGAAGAACAAAUGUGUACGUAACUGUGCUCAUCUUGACGGUACCUAAUCAGAAAGCCACGGCUAACUACGUGCCAGCAGCCGCGGUAAUACGUAGGUGGCCAGCGUUAUCCGGAAUUAUUGGGCGUAAAGGGAGCGUAGGCGGUUUCUUAAGUCUGAUGUGAAAGCCCACGGCUCAACCGUGGAGGGUCAUUGGAAACUGGGAAACUUGAGUGCAGAAGAGGAAAGUGGAAUUCCAUGUGUAGCGGUGAAAUGCGCAGAGAUAUGGAGGAACACCAGUGGCGAAGGCGACUUUCUGGUCUGUAACUGACGCUGAUGUGCGAAAGCGUGGGGAUCAAACA
rnacentral:rRNA from 1 species